rnacentral:rRNA from 1 species
GUGAAGGCGAGCACUCUAGACGAACUGCCGUUGACAAAACGGAGGAAGUGGGAUGACGUCAAAUCAUCAUGCCCCUUAUGUUCUGGGCUACACACGUGCUACAAUGGCCGGUACAGACGGACGCAAAGCCGCGAGGUGGAGCAAAUCCUAAAAAGCCGGUCUCAGUUCGGAUUGCAGGCUGCAAUUCGCCUGCAUGAAGUCGGAAUCGCUAGUAAUCGCAGGUCAGCAUACUGCGGUGAAUACCGGUUCCCGGGCCUU